rnacentral:rRNA from 1 species
UACGUAGGGGGGCAAGCGUUGUCCGGAUUUAUUGGGCGUAAAGAGCGUGUAGGCGGCUAGAUAGGUCCAUUGUGAAAACUCGAGGCUCAACCUCGAGACGUCGAUGGAAACCAUCUGGCUAGAGUCCGGAAGAGGAGAGUGGAAUUCCUGGUGUAGCGGUGAAAUGCGCAGAUAUCAGGAAGAACACCCGUGGCGAAGGCGGCUCUCUGGUACGUGACUGACGCUGAGACGCGAAAAGCGUGGGGGAGCAAACAGG